AGAAGAGUCUGUGAGAGCAGGUGAGCACGGACCACCUCUUCACUGACUGUCGCAAAGCAAGAGCCUGAAGCAGGUGACACGUUCAAAACAAUGGAAGACCUUCACGUAUUUUGGACUCUCUGCUGCAGGACAUCCUGAACACGUCACGUUUAAGUGGGUUCUUAAAGCCACUGGCCUUACUUAUAGAUGAAAAAUACAUCAAGAAAUGCAGCAUCAUCUCCAGACUCAAGACCCUGAGCCCAAACCACCGAAAGCUGGUGAGCGGGUGUUUUGACGCGGGUCUGAGGCGCUUCCCGAGGCACCUGCUGGUGGCCAGCGCUGCCUGGAGCGGGGCAGCCGGGCUGCUCCCGCCUCGGAGCCGCCGCUUCCCAGCCUGGGCACGGGGAGCCGCUCCUGGCGUCCACACAGAGGGAAGCCUGCUUCCCCGCUUUCAUUUUGACAGCAGAGCGCAUUUUUGGUGGUUGAGCAAUACACCUGGCAAGGCCGGGCCCCCAGGUGACCAGGCACACUCCCAAGCAGCACGGGUCCCUGCAAAGCUGGCUGACCUGGAGGUCACCUGUCCCCUGCACUAGCCAUGAUGGAGGCACCUGAAUCCCAGGGUUCUCUGGGAAUAUGGAUCUCUUGCAUCGAAGGAAAGCUGUCAACUUCAUGAUCGUUUGCAGAUAUGGACAUUUCUAUUCUUUCUCCAGGUUAAAUGCUUCUGAUCACUCCUUUUCUAAAAUAAGAUUAGUGCUCCAGUUGUCUUAGUGACAAUAAAGAAUUUCUGACAUGUUCUCUCUACUGGUGGUAUAUUUGCAUGUAUUAAUAUCUUCCCCAAAAUGCAUUGCAUUUUUGUAAGUUGUACAGAAGAAAAUCUCUCUGACAGAAACAGGGAGAGAAUAUGUAGGACAGAGCCUAGAGCCUUAGGACUUGUUUUCCCCUUGUUUAUUUAUGUAAAGUUAUAUUUUAAAAGCAAUGCAGUUAUGCAAAGGCUGCAACACACCUGGGGGAAUGAGGCCCUAAGUUCUAACAAGUAACCUUGGAUUUAAACUAACAAUUACCUGUCAGUGAUUAAUUGAUAUUUAGGUCUCGUCUGUGAGCAGCUCCUUGCUUUGUUUACCUGUAUUUGUUUUUGACCAAAUAAUGCUUGAUCUGCUGAUUAUUCAUGGCAUUUGGCAUUUGUUGAGAAUUAUGCUUGAUGCAUGUUUUUUUUCUUCUAUUUUAUUCACAUGUGAAAGCCUUAAAAUUCAAUCUGUGCUAUUCCAUCUCUCUCUGAAAGGUGAAACCAGACAUACUUGUUAAGAAUUUAAAAAGGAAUAAAGAAGAAAUGAAUAUA